AAAUUGAAGAGUUUGAUCAUGGCUCAGAUUGAACGCUGGCGGCAGGCCUAACACAUGCAAGUCGAACGGUAACAGGAAGCAGCUUGCUGCUUCGCUGACGAGUGGCGGACGGGUGAGUAAUGUCUGGGAAGCUGCCUGAUGGAGGGGGAUAACUACUGGAAACGGUAGCUAAUACCGCAUAAUGUCGCAAGACCAAAGAGGGGGACCUUCGGGCCUCUUG
rnacentral:rRNA from 1 species